UGGGGAAUCUUGCGCAAUGGGCGAAAGCCUGACGCAGCGACGCCGCGUGAGUGAUGAAGGCCUUCGGGUUGUAAAGCUCUGUGGAGAGGGACGAAUAAGUCGUGGCUAACAUCCACGGUGAUGACGGUACCUCUUUAGCAAGCACCGGCUAACUCUGUGCCAGCAGCCGCGGUAAGACAGAGGGUGCAAACGUUGUUCGGAAUUACUGGGCGUAAAGCGCGUGUAGGCUGCCCCGCAAGUCGGAUGUGAAAGCCCUGGGCUCAACCUAGGAAGUGCAUUCGAAACUGCGGGGCUGGAGUCCUGGAGAGGAUAGCGGAAUUCUCGGUGUAGAGGUGAAAUUCGUAGAUAUCGAGAGGAACACCGGUGGCGAAGGCGGCUAUCUGGACAGUGACUGACGCUG
rnacentral:rRNA from 1 species